rnacentral:rRNA from 1 species
GACGAACGCUGGCGGCGUGCCUAAUACAUGCAAGUAGAACGCACAGUUUAUACCGUAGCUUGCUACACCAUAGACUGUGAGUUGCGAACGGGUGAGUAACGCGUAGGUAACCUGCCUGGUAGCGGGGGAUAACUAUUGGAAACGAUAGCUAAUACCGCAUAAUAUUGAUUAUUGCAUGAUAAUUGAUUGAACGAUGCUAUUGCAUCACUACCAGAUGGACCUGCGUUGUAUUAGCUAGUAGGUGAGGUAACGGCUCACCUAGGCGACGAUACAUAGCCGACCUGAGAGGGUGAUCGGCCACACUGGGACUGAGACACGGCCCAGACUCCUACGGGAGGCAGCAGUAGGGAAUCUUCGGCAAUGGACGAAAGUCUGACCGAGCAACGCCGCGUGAGUGAAGAAGGUUGUCGGAUCGUAAAGCUCUGUUGUAAGAGAAGAACGGGUGUGAGAGUGGAAAGUUCACACUGUGACGGUAUCUUACCAGAAAGGGACGGCUAACUACGUG